CUUCUUUCUGCUGUACUUACUGUCUUCCUUCUGUUGACUCUUUUUGGGAAUAAGGAGCAACAGUCUUAUGUCUCCCCUCAUCCUCAGCCUUUCCUUUAGUUUGUUUCUUCCAGAACCCUCUUUAUAACAUACUUCUGUGUCCUUGAUUUUGCUUAUGCUUGAGAAGUAGGCCCACGAUAGUCUUAAAACUAAAAUGGUUGCUACCAUUACUUUUUUUUUUUUAAAGCAGCUUCCAGAAGGUUUUAAGGAGUCUAGAAAAUUGCCUUCCUCGACUCACCCAAGACUAGCCGCUUUAGAAUAUGUAGUCUCCUCCCCAGAACCCGCCCCAAUAGGCAUGGUUUCUCUUUUGUGCAAACCUGCUUCUUGGGAAGGGAGGUGGCAAAACCUGUUUGAAGGUGAGGUUACUUACCUCCCUUCCACCCUUCCCUCCUCCUUGGAGGCAAGAGCAACAAUAGCUGAGACAGAAAAAGGGGAUACAGACGUGUUGGGGAGCUGAGACAUCCGGCUCCCCGACAACUCCAAGUGUUUAAAGGCGACAGGAAGACUUCUGAAGAUGGGAACUGUACAAGAGGAAGGAGAAAAGACAUUAGAUCUCAGGGUCAGGGAGAAUGCAGAAACAGCUGUACUAGGAGCAUCCUUGAGACUUGGGGAACUGGAGCUGAAGGAAGACUGGCAGGAUGAAGAAUUCCCUAGAUUGCUUCCUGAAGAGGCUGACCCUUCUGGAGAUCCUCAUAAUCCUGAAAGAGACUCACAGGCAGGAACCCCCAGCACUUUAGCCCCGUGUGGCCAGCGCCCCAUGCGUAAGCGUCUUUGUGCCCCAGAGUUGCGACUGAAUCUGACUAAGGGGCCUGGAGAUAACGGAGCUUCUCCCACCCACUCUGUACCUUCCUCUCCUGAUGGCAGUUCUGACCUGGAGAUAGACGAGUUGGAGACACCUUCAGACUCGGAGCAGCUGGACAGUGGACAUGAAUUUGAACGGGAAGAUGAGCUGCCCCAGGCAGAGGGCCUGGGGGCCAGUGAGGCAGCUGAAAGGCUGGGCCAGGGUUGUAUGUGGGAUGUGGCUGGAGAAGACGGUCAUUGCUGGAGGGUGUUCCGAACAGGACAGCGGGAGCAGCGAGUGGACAUGACCGUCAUUGAGCCCUAUAAGAAAGUCCUAUCUCAUGGAGGCUACCAUGGUGAUGGCCUCAAUGUUGUCAUCCUCUUUGCUUCCUGUUAUCUACCCAGAAGCAGCAUCCCCGACUACACCUAUGUCAUGGAACACUUGUUUAGGUAUAUGGUGGGUACUCUGGAGCUACUGAUAGCUGAAAAUUAUCUGCUUGUUCACCUGAGUGGAGGCACAAGUAGGGCCCAAGUUCCACCUCUGAGCUGGAUACGCCAGUGUUACCACACCCUGGAUCGGCGGCUUCGGAAAAACUUGCAUGCCCUGGUGGUUGUCCAUGCUACAUGGUAUGUGAAGGCAUUCCUGACACUGCUUCGGCCCUUCAUCAGGAUCUCCAGGAGCCCUCUUCCCCAUAUAAAACACACUUGGUUGAUCCUCUCUUUUUAGUUCCAAGUUCACACGGAAGAUCCGUUUUCUGAAUAGCCUUGGAGAGCUGGCCCAACUCAUCUCCUUGGAUCAGGUCCACAUCCCAGAAGCUGUCAGACGGCUGGACCAGGAUCUCCAUGGCUCAGGAGGGACCUAGCAUAGGACUGGAAUAAUGAGCUUAAGAACCAAGCAAAGAUAUUGAUCUGAUUACACCCUAAACCCUGAAACAUCUGAGCUGUUUUGUAAAUCAACUCAUCCUCAAUCCCAGUACCACUGGAUCUUCACAUCUCAAUGGGAUGUCAUUCCUUCCAUGACCCUGACUUCAAAGCAGGGCUCUGAGGUUGGGAACCUGAUGUGCUGGGUGACUUUCAUUUCAGCUGGAGGGGUGCAUGUUGUGGCAUUUUAUAUAGGACAGUGCAAAGCUGUGCUGCUUUAGCUGUAGAACCUUGGGCAAAUAACCUCCUCUCUUUGAGUCUGAGAUCCUUUCCACCUGGGGUAUUCUAGCAGUCUGUGAAGGUGAGGGGUGGAUGGGGAGGGCAGGGCUCCUGCUGGGAGCCAGGAGUCAGUGCUCUAAAUGUUGAAGAGCCAUUCUGUUUCCCUCUUUCCUUCAGUAGUCUCAUCUGCUGCCUGUGAGCCUGGGGAGGGGCAUUUUCAAAACCUGUAUUUUGUCCUCUUUAUUAAAUUCAGAUCUGUAGCGAUUAAUAAACUGCGAUGAGAGAUUCAAGCGCCGCGCCGAGGAAGUGUACUACUCUUUCCCCAGCCCCUUGCAUCACAAUCCGUCUGUCGGUUCUGGCACAGGAGUUCUUGCUGCAGAGGUUCCCUGGGAUUUUCAGCUGAGCCCCUGGGCCUGCCGGAGCUGACCCGGG